CUUUUCUCUUUAGAAGAAAAAAAAAAACAUAACAAAAUUCCAAUUUGAGAUGACAGUACUAAGAAAAAGAGAAACAAUUUGAUUCAUCAUGAUCGGAAGGAGUCCAAGUAAAAUGGUUAACAAUUAAAUCUUGGAUGUCUAAAUUGGAAUUACUGGCACGCCACACCUUCAUCAUUACUUGUCACUAUUCUAUUUAUUUCAUAAGUUUUUAUCAUUUUAAGUAACGUCAUUCAACCUGUCACGUUAACCGGAAGGUCAACUAACAUUAAACUUGCAAGACCAAAACCCAAUACCAUUUAGCAACACGUUUGUGGAGGAUUUGCUCAAGUGUACGCGUUAGAAAAUGACUAAUGAAACAUUUGUAAAUUUAACGUAAAUUAUCAUUGAAACUUUGAUAUUGUUGAGCUGUUACUUGCUGCUACAAGAUUAUAACUCUUACUAUCUUGCAGGAAAGGCUACGCCUAAACGCCAUUGAAACGAAGACUAGAAGUUCCUCUAAUAAAAUGAAAAAUAAGAGGAAGAAUAAUCAUAUUAAACCAUAAUCAAAGGAAGAUAAAUGCAGAAAAAACAUAUUAAAAAUGAAAAAAAAAAAAACUAAAAUAGCAGUACACUAAGAUUUCUAAAGUAAAAUCUUGGACACGAAAACAGAGUAAACAACUAAAAUAAUACCGGAAAGAAGGUGCAAAAAUUCGACGUUUCUAUCUCUUGUGUUCGACAGAUAGAAGGUUCUAUCAGGUGCUCAAACGAACAAGGCGCUCUCCGAACAGAAUUUUGAACAGAACCGGGUUUAACUCCCCGCUUUUGAGUUGAGUUCCUUGUACUUUUCUUUUGUUGUCCUCAACAUAUAGAAACUUUCAAGGGUAAUCCCGUCCUUUUGACGUCGAUAGAAUGGACCUCCUUUGAUAAUUUUGGGUCCAGCUUAGCCCAAUCAUCGACUCCCAUUGCUUUCUUUUUCUUUUUCACCUUUCAAUUUUCAUGAAAGGGUGAUGGAUUUGUUUUGAGCAAAGGCCAUAGCUCAAUGGCCAAUGGACUCCUGCCGGCCUUUUAACAUCUUACAAUAAUUUUUGGAAUUGAAGAACUGCUAAGUCCCUUGAAAAGGAGAGAUUGAAGCGGGGAUAGCCACAGCGAUCAGGUUGGUUGUUGAGACAGAAAGGGAAGCGAAUCCAUUGGUUCCCAUAUGAAACACGGAAAAUUUCAACGCUUGUUGAUGGUUGAAGAGAGAGUAAAAGAAAGGAUAAGAUAAGGAUAGGUAGGUUGUUUUAAAGAGAGCCAUAUGGCGCUAAAUGAAAGCCACAAAAAUUAUCUUUGCCUUUCAAGCUUUCAUGACUAGUAAGUACACAAAGAAAAAUUAAAGAAUUUUAUAAUAAAUUGUAUGAUCCAAAGAAAAUGAGAGAGAGGACAUAAAGAAGAGUUCAAAGGUGUCAUUUUAUGCUUACUCGUACGGCAAAAAGAGAUGUAUGAUUUGUUUUUCUUCGAAACUUUCCUGGUGUCCAUUUAUAAUGGUUCAAUGGAAAUGAGUCAAAAGAGUAGGUAAUUUUUAUAGUA